rnacentral:rRNA from 1 species
GACGAACGCUGGCGGCGUGCUUAACACAUGCAAGUCGAACGAAGUGGCGAACGGGUGAGUAACGCGUACUCAACCUGCCCUUCAGUGGGGGACAACAGUUGGAAACGACUGCUAUUACCGCAUACUGAAGGCGGGGAUUGCGUCUGAUUAGCUAGUUGGUGGGGUAACGGCCCACCAAGGCGAUGAUCAGUAGCCGGUCUGAGAGGAUGAACGGCCACAUUGGGACUGAGACACGGCCCAGACUCCUACGGGAGGCAGCAGUGGGGAAUCUUCCGCAAUGGACGAAAGUCUGACGGAGCAACGCCGCGUGAGUGAUGACGGCCUUCGGGUUGUAAAGCUCUGUUAAUCGGGACGCGGUACCGGAAUAGAAAGCCACGGCUAACUACGUGCCAGCCGCCGCGGUAAUUC